rnacentral:rRNA from 1 species
GAUGAACGCUGGCGGCGUGCUUAACACAUGCAAGUCGAACGAAGCACUUUAUUUGAUUUCCUUCGGGACUGAUUAUUUUGUGACUGAGUGGCGGACGGGUGAGUAACGCGUGGGUAACCUGCCUUGUACAGGGGGAUAACAGUUGGAAACGGCUGCUAAUACCGCAUAAGCGCACAGCAUCGCAUGAUGCAGUGUGAAAAACUCCGGUGGUAUAAGAUGGACCCGCGUUGGAUUAGCUAGUUGGUGAGGUAACGGCCCACCAAGGCGACGAUCCAUAGCCGACCUGAGAGGGUGACCGGCCACAUUGGGACUGAGACACGGCCCAAACUCCUACGGGAGGCAGCAGUGGGGAAUAUUGCACAAUGGGCGAAAGCCUGAUGCAGCGACGCCGCGUGAGCGAAGAAGUAUUUCGGUAUGUAAAGCUCUAUCAGCAGGGAAGAUAAUGACGGUACCUGACGAAGAUGCACCGGCUAAAUACGUG